CGAAUACGAGACGCUACGGCGUCGAAGUAGUGUAUGUCAUGCUUCCAAGAAAAGCUUGCACUGUCAUAGAUAAAAAAUGCCUGUACCAUAACCGACACAGGUGGGUAGGUAGAGUAUACUAAGGGGCGCGAGAUAACUCUCUCUAAGGAACUCGGCAAAAUAACUCCGUAACUUCGGGAGAAGGAGUGCCUUAUUUAAUAAGGUUGCAAUAACAAGAUCCAAGCAACUGUUUACCAAAAACACAGGUCUCCGCUAAGUCGUAAGACGAUGUAUGGGGGCUCACGCCUGCCCAGUGCCAGAAGGUUAAAGAAGUUGGUUAGCAUCUGCGAAGCUGAUAACUGAAGCCCUGGUGAACGGCGGCCGUAACUAUAACGGUCCUAAGGUAGCGAAAUUCCUUGUCGGGUAAGUUCCGACCCGCACGAAAGGCGUAAUGAUUUGGAUACUGUCUCGGAGAGGGGCUCGGUGAAAUAGACUUGUCUGUGAAGAUGCGGACUACCUGCACCUGGACAGAAAGACCCUAUGAAGCUUUACUGUAACUUGAAAUUGAAAUUGGACUUUAUUCGCGCAGUAUAGGUGGGAGGCGUUGAAAAUACUCUUGCGGGAGUAUUGGAGCUAUCAGUGAGAUACCACUCUUAUAAUGUUAGAUUUCUAACUUUGAACCAUUAUCUGGUCAAAGAACAGUUUCAGGCGGGCAGUUUGACUGGGGCGGUCGCCUCCCAAACGGUAACGGAGGCGUACAAAGGUUUCCUCUGAACGGAUAGAAAUCGUAUCUAGAGUAUAAAGGCAUAAGGAAGCUUGACUGUGAGACCUACAAGUCGAGCAGGGACGAAAGUCGGUCUUAGUGAUCUGACGGUACUGAGUGGAAAGGCCGUCACUCAACGGAUAAAAGUUACUCUAAGGAUAACAGGCUGAUCUCCCCCAAGAGUUCACAUCGACGGGGAGGUUUGGCACCUCGAUGUCGGCUCAUCGCAUCCUGGGGCGGUAGUACGUCCCAAGGGUUGGGCUGUUCGCCCAUGAAAGCGGUACGCGAGCUGGGUUCAGAACGUCGUGAGACAGUUCGGUCCAUAUCCGGUGUAGGCGUUAGAAUAUUGAGAGGAGCCUUCUCUAGUACGAGAGGACCGAGAAGGACAUACCUCUGGUGUACCAGUUAUCGUGCCAACGGUAAACGCUGGGUAGCUAUGUAUGGAGUGGAUAACCGCUGAAAGCAUCUAAGUGGGAAGCCCACCUCAAGAUAAG
rnacentral:rRNA from 1 species